GAUGAACGCUGGCGGCGUGCUUAACACAUGCAAGUCGAACGAAGCACUUUAUUUGAUUUCCUUCGGGACUGAUUAUUUUGUGACUGAGUGGCGGACGGGUGAGUAACGCGUGGGUAACCUGCCUUGUACAGGGGGAUAACAGUUGGAAACGGCUGCUAAUACCGCAUAAGCGCACAGCAUCGCAUGAUGCAGUGUGAAAAACUCCGGUGGUAUAAGAUGGACCCGCGUUGGAUUAGCUAGUUGGUGAGGUAACGGCCCACCAAGGCGACGAUCCAUAGCCGACCUGAGAGGGUGACCGGCCACAUUGGGACUGAGACACGGCCCAAACUCCUACGGGAGGCAGCAGUGGGGAAUAUUGCACAAUGGGCGAAAGCCUGAUGCAGCGACGCCGCGUGAGCGAAGAAGUAUUUCGGUAUGUAAAGCUCUAUCAGCAGGGAAGAUAAUGGCGGUACCUGACUAAGAAGCACCGGCUAAAUACGUG
rnacentral:rRNA from 1 species